GCAGGCUAGACUGGGAAAUCAAAAGAAGUCAAAGAAGUUCUGUAAUCUUGCUGAGAAAGCUAAACGGGGUCUCAGUAUGGAAAUAAGUUAUUCCAAGCUAACAAAGAAUAUUUUCUGAGCUAAUUAAGGAUGCAGGAAUGUCCACAAGUUUAUGCUCGGAGAAGCCAACAAGACUCAGUUGUGAUUUGGUCAUUGGUCAACUCCUAAACACAAUAGGAUAAAAAGCAGAAUAAGAGAAUAACAGAGUUAUUUUGUGACAAAAAUGUCCAGCUUUCUCGUCCAAGCAAAAAAGCAGUUCAAGCAACUUUCUACCAUACACAAAAACAUGGAAAAUCUGUACUGGGAUGUCAUGGAAUAUUAUGCCAUUGAUUUAAAGAAAAUCUUGGUAGAAGAAUUCCUCACCGACUUGAGCAACUUCAAAACGAUGUUCAUGCAAGCAGCAAAGGAUAAUACGAGAAGGAAAGAAAUGGAAGAAAAGCAGAGGCAUGCUAGAAUAGUCAAGAGAAAGCAGAAAAAGAAAAACUAGAAAAUUAAUAGAAGAAAAGGCACCUGCUGGACAUUAAAACAGAGAAGGAUGAGACAGGAAUGAUGAAUAGUUUGCUGGAGGCGCUGCAGUCAGGGACGGUUUUCCGCGAUCGAAGAAAGCAAGCACCCAGGUUUAAAGAUGAACCCCAGAACUUCAGCUCAACUUCUGCAGAACCUGUUUUGAAACCUUGUAACCAUGGUAAUUCAUAAA